AUACGGAGGAUCCGAGCGUUAUCCGGAUUUAUUGGGUUUAAAGGGAGCGUAGGUGGAUUGCUAAGUCAGUUGUGAAAGUUUGCGGCUCAACCGUAAAAUUGCAGUUGAAACUGGCAGUCUUGAGUACAGUAGAGGUGGGCGGAAUUCGUGGUGUAGCGGUGAAAUGCUUAGAUAUCACGAAGAACUCCGAUUGCGAAGGCAGCUCACUAGACUGUUACUGACACUGAUGCUCGAAAGUGUGGGUAUCAAACAGGAUUAGAUACCCUGGUAGUCCACACAGUAAACGAUGAAUACUCGCUGUUUGCGAUAUACAGUAAGCGGCCAAGCGAAAGCAUUAAGUAUUCCACCUGGGGAGUACGCCGGCAACGGUGAAACUCAAAUGAAUUGGCGGGG
rnacentral:rRNA from 1 species